rnacentral:rRNA from 1 species
UCGCCCUACGGGGGGCAGCAGUGAGGAAUAUUGGUCAAUGGGGGAAACCCUGAUCCAGCGACGCCGCGUGAGUGAAGAAGUAUUUCGGUAUGUAAAGCUCUGUCAGCAGGGAAGAAAGAAAUGACGGUACCUGACCAAGAAGCCCCGGCUAACUACGUGCCAGCAGCCGCGGUAAUACGUAGGGGGCAAGCGUUAUCCGGAAUUACUGGGUGUAAAGGGAGCGUAGACGGUGAUGCAAGUCUGGAGUGAAAGGCGGGGGCCCAGCCCCCGGACUGCUCUGGAAACUGGGUAACU